AGGCCAUUUUUAAAGAACCACUAAAAAGUGCUUGACGUUGUUUGUAAAAGGUUCCCUGGCUAGUAGAGUCUGCCAAGUGCAAACAGAAUUAAACAGACAUAUUGGGAAACCAGAACUCAUGCUGGCCAAAAAAGGGUAAAGAGCAACUGCUAGGAGAUCGCGGCCAUAUUAAGUAUGGUAUGUGUCACAGGGAUGAUUACAGUGAGAAAAGCAGGCUGAAAGACAUCAGAUGAUUUACUACCAAGGAGACACACCUGUUAAACGCCAACAACAAGCGGCACUUCAACCCGAGCUUACCAUGUCGUACACGUUGAGUAUCACCGGCUCGCUGGCCAUCCUCCGGACGCCGCUCCCCUGAUGUCCAGGUGCGCCGCCUGCCUUUGUUCCUCUGGAGCCGGUCGCUCUUCACGCUGCCCCUUCCGUCCCAGAAAGCACUCGCUCGCGGGACUCCCGCAUUCAGCUCCACAGGAACGAAUCCCCAGCUGCGAGUGAAGAAGCAAAAGCAACACAGGCACGGAGCCGGCUCUGCUGGCGGGCGAGGCAAACAGACGGAGGUUUCCGGAUGAAAGAAAAGAAAAAGAAAGAAGAGUGCCUGUGGUGUUUUGUAUUAUUAUUAAUCCGCUUGGCGCUGCUAUCCAUCCAGUAAAAAAACGGAAAAGAAACGCUGCAGUGAACCCGGGGUAUCCAGUUUGG